GACGAACGCUGGCGGCGUGCUUAACACAUGCAAGUCGAACGGAAAGGCCCUGCUUUUGUGGGGUGCUCGAGUGGCGAACGGGUGAGUAACACGUGAGUAACCUGCCCUUGACUUUGGGAUAACUUCAGGAAACUGGGGCUAAUACCGGAUAGGAGCUCCUGCUGCAUGGUGGGGGUUGGAAAGUUUCGGCGGUUGGGGAUGGACUCGCGGCUUAUCAGCUUGUUGGUGGGGUAGUGGCUUACCAAGGCUUUGACGGGUAGCCGGCCUGAGAGGGUGACCGGGCACAUUGGGACUGAGAUACGGCGCAGACUCCUACGGGAGGCAGCAGGGGGGAAUCUUGCACAAUGGGCGGAAGCCUGAUGAAGAAACGCCGCGUGCGGGAUGACGGCCUUCGGGUUGUAAACCGCUUUCGCCUGUGACGAAGCGGGAGUGACGGUAAUGGGUAAAGAAGCACCGGCUAACUACGUG
rnacentral:rRNA from 1 species